rnacentral:rRNA from 1 species
AACGAACCUUGGCGGUGUGCCUAAUACAUGCAAGUCGAGCGAGAAAGCCGGGGCAACUCGGCGAGUACAGCGGCGGAAGGGUGCGUAAUACAUGGUUAACGUACCCCCUAGUUAGGGAUAACCCUCCGAAAGGUGGGCUAAUACCGGAUAAUGGCAAUGGGUGGCAUCACUUGUUGCUUAAAGACGCAAGUCACUAGGGGAGCGGACCAUGGCCUAUCAGCUAGUUGGCGGGGUAACGCCCACCAAGGCGAUGACGGGUAGCCGGACUGAGAGGUUGAACGGCCACACGGGAACUGAGACACGGUCCCGACAUCUACGGAUGGCAGCAGUAGGGAAUCUUGCGCAAUGGGCGAAAGCCUGACGCAGCGACACCGCGUGGGGAUGAAGGCCUUCGG